rnacentral:sRNA from 1 species
AUAUCUCUCUGUACGGGAAGGAUGAGAAGCUUCGACUAAGGUUCGAUUCGAGCGAAAGCGAGAAAGCGUUGCCGCAGGCAACGACCCGAAGG